rnacentral:tRNA from 2 species
GCGAACGUCUGCCAGCCAGCAUCGGAUUUCGAUUCCGAGGGUCGGGAGUUCGAAUCUCUCCGAGCGCGCCA